GAGCCGCUAGCUCAGUCGGUAGAGCACCUGACUUUUAAUCAGGGGGUCACAGGUUCGAUUCCUGUGCGGCUCACCA
rnacentral:tRNA from 6 species